rnacentral:rRNA from 1 species
GUGGGGAAUAUUGGGCAAUGGGCGCAAGCCUGACCCAGCAACGCCGCGUGAAGGAAGAAGGCUUUCGGGUUGUAAACUUCUUUUACCAGGGACGAAACAAAUGACGGUACCUGGUGAAUAAGCCACGGCUAACUACGUGCCAGCAGCCGCGGUAAUACGUAGGUGGCGAGCGUUAUCCGGAUUUAUUGGGUGUAAAGGGCGUGUAGGCGGGACAGCAAGUCAGAUGUGAAAACCAGAGGCUCAACCUCUGGCCUGCAUUUGAAACUGUUGUUCUUGAGUGUCGGAGAAGUAAUCGGAAUUCCGUGUGUAGCGGUGAAAUGCGUAGAUAUACGGAGGAACACCAGUGGCGAAGGCGGAUUACUGGACGAUAACUGACGCUGAGGCGCGAAAGCGUGGGGAGCAAACAGGAUUAGAUACCCGGGUAGUCC